rnacentral:rRNA from 1 species
AUGGCUCUCGCGGCCGCCGCCGUUGCCGCCUCGCGCCCCUCCCCGACCGGCUUGCCCCGCCCGUUAUGCCGCGCCACCGUGCAUCCGUGCCGCCCUCGGCGGUUCCGGCUGGAGGCGAGCUUGUCGGCCUCCACGCCGGCGCCCGCGCCGGCGACAGCGGACGAGGGGGCCGCUGCGGGGACGUGCCCUGUGAUCAGGUUCGACAUGGCCGACUUCACUGUCGCCGACCGCGUCAGCGUCGGGCUCCACGGACGGUCCGAUGAGAUGAUCUUCGAGGCCACAGUGCGCGAUCCUAGCAGUGAGCUGUACGGGUCGACGGUGGUGUUGCGGCAGCUGACUAGCUCACAGGCGAAGCGGAGGGGCCGCCGCGCCCUAGAGGUUGGUAUUCUUGGGAAUGCUGUUGAUUUUCAUGACAAUGACCCCAGCAACAGUGCAGUAGCAAGUAACAAUGAGAGGCGGAAAAUGAUGAUAGCAUUUGACAUGAGAUGCGCGGGCUUCAUAAUGGCAAAGAUGGUUUUGAGAGAGCUCAUGGAUUCAUCGACAUUCCAAAAAUUCAAGUCAUUCUUGAAUAAGGGGAAUGAUCCAUCAUGUCUGCGUGAGUUCCUUUUACCGAUUCUAAGCCAAAAUUCUCCAUCUGGGAAUAUUGGUCUGCAGAUGCUAGAUAGGCACUGGGGUGCUGGCUGGAAUCUUUUGGCCUUAUUACUGGCAACAAAAUCUGACAAAAGGAUAAGUUGUGUCGAUGCACUGCGUCACCCCUUCCUUUGUGGACCUAAAUGGCGUAUAAGUCCAACAGUGAAUGUCGUACGCUGGGGCUUGGGCUCUACUGCUGUCCGCCUGGCUGAAGAUUAUAUUUAUGGGCAUCAUCAGCGUAGACGGUUAGCAUAUUUCAUUGAGUUGAUGGAGGUGCUAAACCCUAAUUCAAGUACAGAGAAUUGGCUUCGCCUCCUACCUGGUCGCUGGUGCCUCUUAUACUGCACCGGAAGGCACAUCGGCCUAACACUUCGUCAGCCUAUCCCCAGAGUCUUCAUCAGUGAUGCGUUCCUCACAUUCGCCGAAGCCCCAGAAUCUGUGAAUCCCAUUUUAUCUCUGACCUCAGAUAUUGGUUUCAAAAUCAUGCCGGAAUCCGACUGGCCCCACGACAAAUCUGGAACCGAAGGAAAUCUGUCAAUUACCACAUCGGCAAGGAUAACUCCUGGGAGGAUUUACACCAAUGCCGAGGAUGGUAAAGAGAGUAGUAGCAGGAUUACAUCUUCCAGAUAUCUUGGUGGUAAAUGGGGAAAAGCCGCAAAGAUGAAGGAGCUACCAGCCAGCCUCCCCACCGCUAGCGUUAACGUGGAUGAAGACGAAGUCGACGUGUCCAUGAGUUGCGGCUCAACUUUGAACGUCAAGUCUGCACGCAAUGUGCUGCAAGAGGUCCGUACGCAGACGCCACCGGAGAUGUUCGAUCUGUCAAAGAUUGUCUGCGGUACAUACAUUGAUUCAAGGUUGAUGGUUCUUCGCGGUGUUAAUGGGUCGGCUUUACUUUUCGUUAGAUCAAACCGUACGUCUGACCCAUGA